GAUGAACGCUGGCGGCGUGCCUAAUACAUGCGAGUCGAGCGAACGGACGAGAAGCUUGCUUCUCUGAUGUUAGCGGCGGACGGGUGAGUAACACGUGGAUAACCUACCUAUAAGACUGGGAUAACUUCGGGAAACCGUAGCUAAUACCGGAUAAUAUUUUGAACCGCAUGGUUCAAAAGUGAAAGACGGUCUUGCUGUCACUUAUAGAUGGAUCCGCGCUGCAUUAGCUAGUUGGUAAGGUAACGGCUUACCAAGGCAACGAUGCAUAGCCGACCUGAGAGGGUGAUCGGCCACGCUGGAACUGAGACACGGUCCAGACUCCUACGGGAGGCAGCAGUAGGGAAUCUUCCGCAAUGGGCGAAAGCCUGACGGAGCAACGCCGCGUGAGUGAUGAAGGUCUUCGGAUCGUAAAACUCUGUUAUUAGGGAAGAACAUAUGUGUAAGUAACUGUGCACAUCUUGACGGUACCUAAUCAGAAAGCCACGGCUAACUACGUG
rnacentral:rRNA from 1 species